rnacentral:lncRNA from 1 species
CAACAAGGAGGCUGAUGAACAUUAUUGGAGACCAAGGGAUGGUAUGCAGCACAGGCUCACUGAAGGGUCUCUAUCAGGGCAGGCUCCCUUGGUCUCUAAUGACCAAGCUCAAGAGCCUGCUACUGUCCCCUUCCACCCACAUGAUCAAGGGCUACUCCUAUAUAAGGGAGGACCUGCUGAAACCCUACGUCAUGGAUGGAAACACAGUACCUCUUGUUUAAAUAAUUCUUCAGGGUCCUUAUUUGUAGCGUUCCACUUGCUGAAACCUCCCUCCGGUUCUUCUUCAUUGAUUGAGAGAGUUCUCUCCGAAGGCCCUGCAAGCAUUAAGGUAGUAAGACUGAAUUGUUGAAUUCAUGUUCAGAAACCUAUAAUCGUACCACAAAAUUCUAACAUUGUUUCUCCUUCAUUAAGAAGGACUAAGAAAUAUAUAAAGGGAC